rnacentral:lncRNA from 1 species
CGCUAUUUCAAUUAAAUAUACAAUUAAUCCUCAUAGCAGAAAAAUAAUUCUUGAAAUAACAAUAAUUUCUCGAACCAAAGAAUCAAUCCUCAACAUAUCAAUUUAAUCCUCAAAAUAAACAAUUCUUCUUCUUUAUAAAGUGGACUAUCCCGGGGUCGCAGCUCUUCAAAAUUCAACAAUAAAAUCUCAAUUCAACUCUCUGUUUUCUGGUAUUUUUAAAAUUCCAUAACUUAACAUCUUCACAUGAAACCUUUUCCAUUUUAACCUCUGACAUAGUAUCUUGCUAUCCUUAAAAUUUCAGCUUAAACCGAUUAGUAUAGAUAGGUCAAAUACUCGCUCAAAGAUGGUACUCAAAAUUAUCUCAGCAAGGCAAAACAGGAUUUUUAUCAUCAUCACAGCCACGCUCUAAAAUUCACUGUAAAUCGUAGGUUUACUAUUUUGGCAUGAAACCACCUCUGGGAUCUUCUAUACUCAGUACACUAUCAUCCCUCAAAAUUUCAACUCCAACUAAAGUGUUUAGCUAGGUGAAACAUUGCUUCAAAGUUCAGUGUUCAGUAAAUUC